GUAGGCCCUUAAUGCAAAUGGAAGAUUUAAACCCAACAAAUAAGAUAGACAUGAAGGAUAAUGAUUUCUUCCAGUGAAAUGUGGUUAGAGUUAUAGCUAACAAAUGUUACUCAGAAAUGUCUAUUGCAAUGUUAAUAUACACUGGUCUUAGUUUGCAUUUUCUACCCUUCCCAAAGCCACACCAAUACCACUAUCAUACAAAAGUAAUAUCACUGUUUUUCAGGUCUCUGGACAUUUCUAAACCUUACAUUCCUGCCCUGUUUCCCAUCGGUCAAAAACUUGAAAUGGGUCUCUAUCUCUUGCAUGAAAGAUCAAGAUCAACGGUCUUGAUCAUCGAAUUUGUGUACAGUAGCGGAGAUGAUAGAUAUGGACAACCUACAAUAAUUGGAUCAUUUGGUAAAACUGGAGUACCCAACUCAGAUGCUUGGAUAUUUGUGUAAGCUUCAAGAAUGAUCGUCCAGAAGAAUUGGAUGCUAGGAAACAGUUCUAUG